UUAAGUUAUUAAGGGCGCACGGUGGAUGCCUUGGCACUAGAAGCCGAUGAAGGACGUUACUAACGACGAUAUGCUUUGGGGAGCUGUAAGUAAGCUUUGAUCCAGAGAUUUCCGAAUGGGGAAACCCAGCAUGAGUUAUGUCAUGUUAUCGAUAUGUGAAUACAUAGCAUAUCAGAAGGCACACCCGGAGAACUGAAACAUCUUAGUACCCGGAGGAAGAGAAAGAAAAUUCGAUUCCCUUAGUAGCGGCGAGCGAAACGGGAAGAGCCCAAACCAACAAGCUUGCUUGUUGGGGUUGUAGGACACUCUAUACGGAGUUACAAAGGACGACAUUAGACGAAUCAUCUGGAAAGAUGAAUCAAAGAAGGUAAUAAUCCUGUAGUCGAAAAUGUUGUCUCUCUUGAGUGGAUCCUGAGUACGACGGAGCACGUGAAAUUCCGUCGGAAUCUGGGAGGACCAUCUCCUAAGGCUAAAUACUCUCUAGUGACCGAUAGUGAACCAGUACCGUGAGGGAAAGGUGAAAAGCACCCCGGAAGGGGAGUGAAAUAGAACCUGAAACCGUGUGCUUACAAGUAGUCAGAGCCCGUUAAUGGGUGAUGGCGUGCCUUUUGUAGAAUGAACCGGCGAGUUACGAUUUGAUGCAAGGUUAAGCAGUAAAUGUGGAGCCGUAGCGAAAGCGAGUCUGAAUAGGGCGUUUAGUAUUUGGUCGUAGACCCGAAACCAGGUGAUCUACCCUUGGUCAGGUUGAAGUUCAGGUAACACUGAAUGGAGGACCGAACCGACUUACGUUGAAAAGUGAGCGGAUGAACUGAGGGUAGCGGAGAAAUUCCAAUCGAACCUGGAGAUAGCUGGUUCUCUCCGAAAUAGCUUUAGGGCUAGCCUCAAGUGAUGAUUAUUGGAGGUAGAGCACUGUUUGGACGAGGGGCCCCUCUCGGGUUACCGAAUUCAGACAAACUCCGAAUGCCAAUUAAUUUAACUUGGGAGUCAGAACAUGGGUGAUAAGGUCCGUGUUCGAAAGGGAAACAGCCCAGACCACCAGCUAAGGUCCCAAAAUAUAUGUUAAGUGGAAAAGGAUGUGGCGUUGCCCAGACAACUAGGAUGUUGGCUUAGAAGCAGCCAUCAUUUAAAGAGUGCGUAAUAGCUCACUAGUCGAGUGACACUGCGCCGAAAAUGUACCGGGGCUAAACAUAUUACCGAAGCUGUGGAUUGUCCUUUGGACAAUGGUAGGAGAGCGUUCUAAGGGCGUUGAAGCAUGAUCGUAAGGACAUGUGGAGCGCUUAGAAGUGAGAAUGCCGGUGUGAGUAGCGAAAGACGGGUGAGAAUCCCGUCCACCGAUUGACUAAGGUUUCCAGAGGAAGGCUCGUCCGCUCUGGGUUAGUCGGGUCCUAAGCUGAGGCCGACAGGCGUAGGCGAUGGAUAACAGGUUGAUAUUCCUGUACCACCUAUAAUCGUUUUAAUCGAUGGGGGGACGCAGUAGGAUAGGCGAAGCGUGCGAUUGGAUUGCACGUCUAAGCAGUAAGGCUGAGUAUUAGGCAAAUCCGGUACUCGUUAAGGCUGAGCUGUGAUGGGGAGAAGACAUUGUG
rnacentral:rRNA from 1 species